rnacentral:rRNA from 1 species
CCUACGGGAGGCUGCAGUGAGGAAUAUUGGUCAAUGGGCGCGAGCCUGAACCAGCCAAGUAGCGUGAAGGAUGACUGCCCUACGGGUUGUAAACUUCUUUUAUAAAGGAAUAAAGUGAGGCAAGUGUGCCUUCUUGUAUGUACGUUAUGAAUAAGGAAAGGCUAACUCCGUGCCAGCAGCCGCGGUAAUACGGAGGAUGCGAGCGUUAUCCGGAUUUAUUGGGUUUAAAGGGAGCGUAGAUGGGUUGUUAAGUCAGUUGUGAAAGUUUGCGGCUCAACCGUAAAAUUGCAAUUGAUACUGGCAGCCUUGAGUGCAGUUGAGGUAGGCGGAAUUCGUGGUGUAGCGGUGAAAUGCUUAGAUAUCACGAAGAACUCCGAUUGCGAAGGCAGCUUACUAAUCUGCCACUGACAUUGAUGCUCGAAAGUGUGGGUAUCAAACAGGAUUAGAUACCCCUGUAGUC